GUUAGGUUAUGGGUUUAAGAAAAUUACAAAAAAAAAACUGUGCUCACAAAUUGUGGUUAGAUUUAAUCUAUGUUCUGAACUCCACAACCUGAUAUCUUCGUUCGUUGUGAAUCCAGUCUUCAUGACAGAAGUGCAUUGUACAAACUUUCACACUUGAACACAGCAAGAGACAGAGUUGAAUUGAUUUGUGAAUACAUGUACGUAUUGAGCGUGUGCACACCGGAGCCUCUGCACGACUAAAGCUGUGGACCCCCAGGCGGUACCGGUGAUAGGAGACACCCAGUCACACACACGACCCUCACGCUCAUGAAGGGUUUGUUGACUUUGGCCUCGUCCAGUACAUGUUGAGAGUUUGUGGACUGCACCAGUGUCUUGACGUAAACUGCUUCGUUCAGCAGACAUGUUGGGUCACAGUCGCAGAACCUUUGCUGUCCUUCUGAUUGUAACUGCUGUCAGCACACUGCUUUACUCGCGAACCCUGUUUACAAGACAUCACGACCGAAAUCAUUCACUGGCAAGACGGCUAAUGGGCAUGGUCAGAGAAAACCCAUCUUCACCCUUCAACCAAUCACGGUCCCCAACGUCAUCACAGGUAAUUGCGUCAUCACAACCGCCUACGUCAUCGCGGCCAUCUUCGUCAUCAAGACCGCGGCCGACGUGUACGGAGAGAAGACGUCUUGCUUUUGCUAAGAACCACAAAGUAGGAGGUGACACCGUAAAGAGAAUCUUCGAUCGCUUCGGGUAUGUCAGGAAACUCAACUUCGUCCUGCCGCGCUCCCUGGUGGUCAGCAAGAUGUAUCCGUACCAGCUGCACCCUAAGUCCUAUCUGCCUCCGCCUCAGAACCACAGCUUUGACAUGCUGGUGUACCACACCGUGUACGAAAGGGCACGGUACAGAGAAAUCCUCCCAAAGGAUACAGUAUACCUGACUAUUAUUCGUGAACCCCUAAGUCAUCUCAAGUCCACCUGGAACUACUACAAACUACAGAAAAAGUUCCAUAUCGAAGAGAACGGAGAAGACCCGAUUCUAACAUUUUUGGCAAACCCAGGGGAAUAUGACAAAAAGUGUGGCCAUGGCCGCCAUGUUCCCUACUGUCUUACCCAGAAUGCCAUUUCCACUGACCUUGGAUUCCCGGCAUCUACAAACAAGCGAGUAGGUCCCGGAUGUGACACGGACGAGAGAGAGAUAAUUACACAGAAAUUCCUGAAAAUCAUCAAAGACGAUUUUGAUUUGGUCAUGAUGACGGAGUACUUCGAUGAGUCGCUAGUUCUGCUCAAGCGGCUGAUGUGUUGGUCUUUGAAAGACAUUCUCUAUUACAAGACCAACACUCGUAGCUAUGUAAGUAAAGAGAAACAAAUCCCUCCCAAACUCCAUCAGAAUCACAGGGAAUGGAGCCAUGUGGACUAUGCGCUCUAUGAUCAAUUCAAUCAAAGCUUUUGGAGAAGGAUAAAUUCAGCAGGUAACGACUUCUGGGGAGAAGUCAGGUAUUUUAAGCAUGUUAAUGAGCAAAUGAAAGAACUAUGUGAUAAUUACAAGGCAAGCAAACCAUGCUCUAUCUCUACCUUAACUUUUAAGCAGUCAAGGUGGGGUCCAGGUUUUACGGUAGAUAGGAACUUCUGUAUGCUGGCAAAGAGAAGUCUUCGCUGUUAUCUGUUGCUUGAAUCUGAAAGGGCAGCAAAGGCACUGAAACUGAACCGCCGCAACAUUACACUGUAUUCAGAAGUCAACUUGGAAUCUUUCAAAAAGGCUGCAAAAUCGAGAAAAGGACGAACAACAGUGAAGGCAAUAGAUGUGAUAUUAGAAAAUUGCGUCAACUGCAAGUUGAGAGACUGUGGAUCAUUGGACCACCUGUCGCACCUUCACUAUGACGGGUAUGUCAACAGCGCCACCUAUAGUAGUAUCGUGAAUAGGGAGUAUCCAAACUUCGUCAGGAAAUGUAACCUUUAAACCAAACGCUAACAACACCAUGACAUUGGCGUACAUGUAAAUAGUGUUUGGGUAGCCAUUUUCAAUUGAAAUAUUAGCACGGGCUUUUGCAAUUAUUUAUUGAGAUGGACAUGUGCAUUUAUGGUGCUAUGGAAAUUGAAAAGCUACAUUGCGUUAAGUCUCACUUGGAUCUUAUUGCAUUCAUCUGUACGCGAGACUGGCAUGAGGUUUGAACAAAAGGAAGAAAAACAAGAGUCAAAUUAGUCAUCAUACUUGAAAGUUUACAGCAUCAAAUGCAUUACACUGAGUCUUAGUGUUUUUGAAAUGUAAAGCUGUGGCCCUCAUAAAAUAAAGGACAAGUAGAACCAUGUUGUGUUUUUAUGUUGACAAAAAGUUUCCCCAAAGUUCUGAUCUGAAAUUUCUAACCGGUCCGACCGGCUUGACGGCCUCAUUGUCGUGUGUGUCUCCAAAUAUAGGAGAUUAAUCAGAUUUGUAAACAACAAGCUCAUAUAUAUCUUUUUUCAGGACUCUUUUUAUAUCAUACUGUAUAUUAAAAUAUCUAUAGAGUUCUAGUGUACAUAUGUCAGUGUCGCAUAGGAUAUAAGAUUGUGAAUUGCGUUAAAAGCUUUUAAGUCUGGCGUUACACGUGCGUCUGCGUGGAUCAUACAAACAUGAACAUCUCAAAUGUAGACACUAUAACCAUUUCGGUUGAUGUGCAGACCGCACAAUAAUUACUAGUAUCUAAGCCACUCCCUGACUUGAUUACAAUAAAGUACUAGUAAAUCAUUGAGCAAGAGGUCUGUGGUCUCAGACUCAGAGUGUUUUUUCUCGCAGUCAAAAAUGUCGACGAAUCAUUUCUAACAUUGCAUGAAAGGUGGAAAGUGGAUUUGGAGAUUUGCCACUUACAUCGUACUUUAGACGAGGUAAGUUGGUUAUAUAACGCAAUGUAAUGACACAGUCCGUCACCAUGGAGACCAACCGGUUGAGUGGGCAAUGGCGUCUGAAAACACUGGCGUGUAGCCUCCUCCGCCUUCUACAAGCCCUGGUGGUUAUGUUUUUUGAGGGGCAAGUUAGCGUCAACAGAAAGUACACGAGUUGGGCAUACGUAGCGGGAUAAUUAGCGUCCAAUGUCUGCAGGUUUUCACAGGGUUUUGGAUAACCGAAAACAGAAAAUCAUGUUUCACAAAAUGAGACAAAAUUCCGCAUGCUACGUCAACAACAUAUCAUAGACAGACCAGACACGAACAAACCACCACGCCUAGACUGUCUUCGGGGCAGUUGCUGACGUCACAUCAGCUGUAAAUGAAGACACGAUCCAGUGAUCAGCCUUGGUCUCGCCCAGGGUGUCCCCGAUCUGGACGAUAUUGGUAUUAUCUUAUUCGCCGCCGGCCCAAGCAUUGGCCUAUAGGUUGUAUGACUACUGACGUAUCCCAGUCACCACAAUGGCGCGCAAAAGAGACCUGAAAUUUUUCUCCUUUCUCAUGAUCUUCAUGGUCAUGUGUAUAUCUCUGUACCUGGUCAUAUUGAGUCAGCC